rnacentral:tRNA from 1 species
GGGAAUGUGGCUUAGUGGUAGAGUGCUUGCUUAGCACACAUGAAGUCCUGGGUUCGAUUCCUCAGUACCA